rnacentral:tRNA from 1 species
UUUUAAGUAACAUAAAAAAUGUUUUCAAUUUCGACUUGAAUUAUAGAUUUUAAAAUCUCUAAUUAA